rnacentral:lncRNA from 1 species
CAAAACUUGAAGUACUGAAUGGCUUUCCAUGACUUUGUGCUUUUGCCUUAAAUGUAGGCAUGGAGCCUGUGGCAACUCAUGUCUGUUCUGAACAUGGGGUGCAAACGUGGAGUCAGUGGCUACACAUGUCCAAUCUGAAGUGAAUAUGAGGUGCAAAAAUGGAGUGUCUCUGGACCUGUCAACUGGCUUUCAGCAUGGAAUAAGGCGUCAGCAGAUCAGCCCCAAAGAACUGACCUGAACAGCACAGGAACUGACACUUUAACUACUAAUCCAUCUCCUAAUUGUACUCAUUGCUCAUCUCCUAUUUUGUGGUCAUUUAAAAACAACAACAGGAGUAUGGUUUUCUAAAAGUAAGUACUCUUGGUUUUCUAAAGUAAGUACUAUUGUAUA